AACCAUAGAAACCUGCGGAGUACCUGCGGAAGGAUCAUUAACGAGUAAAUUUGAACGGGUUGUAGCUGGUCUCGCAAGAGGCAUUGUGCACGCCUGGCUCAUCCACUCUACUUAACCUCUGUGCACUUAUUGUAGGUCGGUGGAAAGGCAAAGUAUUAUGUUUCUUUCCUUACGGGAGAGAAAUAUCUUUGCUUGAAAGCCUUCCUAUGUUUUAUUUACAAACGCUUCAGUUUAAUGAAU
rnacentral:misc_RNA from 1 species